rnacentral:rRNA from 1 species
AUUGAACGCUGGCGGAAUGCUUUACACAUGCAAGCCGAACGGCAGCACGGACUUCGGUCUGGUGGCGAGUGGCGAACGGGUGAGUAAUGUAUCGGAACGUGCCCAGUCGUGGGGGAUAACGUAGUGAAAAUUACGCUAAUACCGUAUACGAUCUAAGGAUGAAAGCGGGGGAUCGCAAGACCUCGCGCGAUUGGAGCGGCCGAUAUCAGAUUAGGUAGUUGGUGGGGUAAAGGCUCACCAAGCCAACGAUCUGUAGCUGGUCUGAGAGGACGACCAGCCACACUGGAACUGAGACACGGUCCAGACUCCUACGGGAGGCAGCAGUGGGGAAUUUUGGACAAUGGACGCAAGUCUGAUCCAGCCAUUCCGCGUGCAGGAUGAAGGCCCUCGGGUUGUAAACUGCUUUUGUACGGAACGAAAAGGUCUCUCUUAAUACGGGGGGCUCAUGACGGUACCGUAAGAAUAAGCACCGGCUAACUACGUGCCAGCAGCCGCCGCCG